AUUGAACGCUGGCGGCGUGCUUAACACAUGCAAGUCGUGCGGUAACAGGCGUAGCAAUACGUGCUGACGAGCGGCGAACGGGUGCGUAAUACAUGGGAAUCUGCCUUUUAGUGGGGAAUAACCCGGCGAAAGCCGGGCUAAUGCCGCAUAAGAUCUUCGGAUGAAAGCGGGGAGUCGUAAGACCUCGCGCUGAUAGAUGAGCCCACUGCCGGAUUAGCUAGUGGUGAGGUAACGGCUCACCAAGGCGACGAUCCGUAGCUGGUCUGAGAGGACGGCCAGCCACACUGGGACUGAGACACGGCCCAGACUCCUACGGGAGGCAGCAGUGGGGAAUAUUGGACAAUGGGGAAACCCGUGAUCCAGCGACGCCGCGUGUGUGAAGAAGGCCUGCGGGUUGUAAAG
rnacentral:rRNA from 1 species